GACGAACGCUGGCGGCGUGCCUAAUACAUGCAAGUCGAGCGGACUUUAAGAGUGCUUGCACACUUAAGGUUAGCGGCGAACGGGUGAGUAACACGUAAAGAACCUACCUUAUAGACAGGGACAACUAUUGGAAACGAUAGCUAAUACCUGAUAAGAAAGAAACUCGCAUGAGAGAAAAUCGAAAGUCGGAGCAAUCUGACACUAUAAGAUGGCUUUGCGGUGCAUUAGCUAGUUGGUAGGGUAAAAGCCUACCAAGGCGACGAUGCAUAGCCGACCUGAGAGGGUGAUCGGCCACAUUGGGACUGAGACACGGCCCAGACUCCUACGGGAGGCAGCAGUAGGGAAUCUUCCGCAAUGGACGAAAGUCUGACGGAGCAACGCCGCGUGAGUGAAGAAGGAUUUCGGUUCGUAAAACUCUGUUGUUAGGGAAGAAAAAAUGUAUAGUAACUAUAUACAAAAGAGACGGUACCUAACCAGAAAGCCACGGCUAACUACGUGCCAGCAGCCGCGGUAAUACGUAGGUGGCAAGCGUUGUCCGGAAUUAUUGGGCGUAAAGCGCGCGCAGGUGGUUUAGAAAGUCUGAUGUGAAAGCCCACGGCUCAACCGUGGAGGGUCAUUGGAAACUAAUAAACUUGAGUGCAGGAGAGAAGAGUGGAAUUCCUAGUGUAGCGGUGAAAUGCGUAGAGAUUAGGAGGAACACCGGUGGCGAAAGCGGCUUUUUGGCCUGCAACUGACACUGAGGCGCGAAAGCGUGGGGAGCAAACAGG
rnacentral:rRNA from 1 species